CCAGUACGGAAACAGCCAGGGUAGGCGGGACGGAGCUCGCAGACAGAGAAAGCGGCGCUAUGCAAGGCCUGGUAUCACUCCGCUUCCGCGAGGCCGAAUCGCCUUCAACUCCCCUCGAGCUGCUCUCGCUGUCGCUUUUGGUUCUGGGGACGUGGAGAGACAAAGUCUGCGGAGGAAAAGAUCUGCCUUUAGGUCUGCUGUAGGGCUUGUCAUCAUUGGAAGCAAGGAAAGGAGGAGAAAAUUACUCCAGAUCAGAGAAGGUCCAACUUCACUGGCAGAUCUGGUGGCCUUGGAGUGGCUGAAGACCACCACCCUCCACAGGGCUGCGCUCAGGCACACAGCCAUCCUUCCCUUCCCCGAGUGAGCUUCCUCUGCACGUUGUUUAUAUCACUGGCAGAGCCUAUAGUUGGAAAGGGGGCUGAGUGACAACUGGACUUUGUAUGAAAACACCAACUUGGGAGAGACCUUCAGUCAAGGCUGAGACGGGGGUGGGGAUACAUAACUUGGCCUUGCCUUUAACUUGGAUCAUGACUGGCUUCGAGGCUAAGGCAAGGGCAGAGGAGGGGCUGGGGCUGGCCUGAAAGCUGGAAUCAGUGGCCCUGCCAACACUAGAGCCAAGGCUAAGAUCCAAGCCAAGGCAGUGGCUGAGGCAGAAUCGGAAACAGGACCAGUGACCCAGGCCAAGCCUGGGGAUGGAGCAGUGGCCAGGACACAGGCAGUGACCUACGCUGAGGCCGUGCCU
rnacentral:lncRNA from 1 species